ACGACGGGAGACUCUCCCGAGUUCGGAACGACGAGUAAGUUUGGACCUUUUCGGCCACCACUCCCUUCAAUAUGGCUGCCCCCAGGGAAAGGCGAGAGAGAACGUGAAAGCACAGACUCUAUAUCCCUCAUCGCAUGGAUCGUAGCGCAGAGUUCAGGAGAUGGAAGGCGCAGUGUCUGAGCAAAGCGGACCUCAGCCGGAAGGGCAGUGUGGACGAGGAUGUGGUAGAGCUUGUGCAGCUCCUGAAUGGGCGAGAAGAGUUUUUCACUACCAGUUCCUGUGCUGGCCGCAUCAUCCUCCUGGACGGGGGUAUAGAUGGUUUUGAGGUUCAGAAACAAAACUGUUGCUGGCUACUGGUUACACACAAACCUUGUGUAAAAGAUGAUGUGAUUGUAGCUCUGAAGAAGGCGAACAGUGAUGCCAUUUUGAAGUUUGAGCCAUUUAUUCUUCAUGUGCAGUGUCGACAGCUGCAGGAUGCACAGAUUCUGCAUUCAGUGGCAAUAGAUUCUGGCUUCAGGAACUCGGGCAUAACAGUAGGAAAGAGAGGAAAGACCAUGUUGGCUGUCCGGAGCACACAUGGCUUAGAAGUUCCAUUAAGCCAUAAGGGACAACUGAUGGUGACAGAGGAAUAUAUAGACUUCCUAUUAAAGAUAGCAAAUCAAAAAAUGGAGGAAAACAAGAAGAGAAUUGAAAGCCUUAUUACCAAUAAUAAAAAGAUGAUCAAAGUAACAGAUGAGAGUAGCCGGACCGUGAUGGGCACUAAAUGGAGCAUAAUGGGGAAGCUCCAUGGAGGAUAGUGGGACACAUGACUCCCGGCAACAGGCAUUAAGGACAGAAAUGUAAUCAUUCAGAAGUGAAAGAAAUAUCAGCUUUUUAUUGCAAGUGGUCCUCUAACUGACUUGAAAACCAAGAACUGAUUUUCCUACGGCCGGCCUGGAAAGUUCUCUCAUGAAGAGAACUAAGUACAGCUUGCCCCAUGGCAUGAUACCCUCCACUGCCGAAGAAAAACUGAAGACAAUUUGAUCUUCUUUUGAGAGGAGAAAAACCAGUUGCCUGAGCAUUACUUUCUUUUUGUCCUCUGAGCUCUUUUUGUGGCCUGUGAGAGCUGAGAAAAUUACUCUUUGAGAAUUGGGCUUUAGAAUGGUGUGUCGAGGGUCAUAGUAUGAGGGGAGAAUGUGUAAUUGGAAAACAAAUUUCUGACUUAUUGAGUCAGAUAAUUUCCCAAAGGCCUUUUUAAAGGUUCCCUUACAAAAGGAAAAGGGAAAAGUAUUUGAAGUUUUUAUUCUUGGCUUUCAGCAUGAGAAGUCUUUGUUCCAUUUUACCAGUUGUUUUUUGGCCCCAAAGGAUGUAGCUUUGAAUUCUUAGGUUCUUUAAUGGAAGACUGAAGUAAGACACCUGUUCCUCUUUAAUUAGCUUUUUUUUUAUUGAUUGAUAAGAUAUUUUACACAAGCUGUUAAUUCUCUGUGAUGAUAAAAGAGCAGUUUAAUCCUCCCUUUAAUUUCCUAGGAAUAAAGUAUAAGCCAGAAAAAGUCCUUGGUUCCCUGAGUCUGAAGUGCAGGGUGGCAUGCUUGGAUUAGUCUGGCAAAGUGGCAGUGAGCCUGCUGAAUUCUGACCUCAGCCCGCAGCUCUGGUAGGCGGGAUAUGGAAAGAAGAAGUGGUCUCCCCGUGAGAGGAAAGGGCACAUGGCACCUUUGUAGGGAGGCCAGGUUUCAGUUAAGAAAGGACCUAAAGGGUGCAUUAAAUGAAAAGAUUGUUACCAUGGAACAGAGUCUAAACAGUUGUAUCUCAGUUAAUAUUUUUCAAAGCUUUUGCUAUACCUCUUACUAUACAGUUUUUCCUUUUACUGUAUCUCUCUCUUUGAGAUUGAUUUAAUCAUUGAAGAAACAUUUAUUGGGCACCUGUUAGAUGCCAACAUGGUGCUGGAUAUCAGGGUGUACUGUGGUAAAUAUGUACAUUCUUGAAAUCUAGACAGGGUACGUAGUAAUCAUGUUAGGUGUAUAUUAGAGUUCUGUGGAAUAUUUGGGAAUAGGUGGAUUUGGGAGUUCUUUAGGGCAGUUGUAGAGCCUAUGCAGGUAGAACUUAGCCUGUUCGUUAAAUUAAAGAAAGGAGAAAAUUGGUCCAAAUAGCAAUCUUUUUUGUAGAUGUCAAAAAUUUCCUGUCAUAGUCUUUCAUUAUAGUAGCAUGAUGAGAUCCCUACAAUGUGAAAGGGAAUUCUCAACUUCCAGAUCAUUCUAAUUUUGGAACUAGGAUAAUAUAUCCAUAUUUACCUUUUUUGUUCAGUAGUUAUUUAUUCACUUAUUUAGCGUAUUUUUACCAAGUGUGUCAGCAGUGUAGUACAUACUAAGAAUAUAACAGAAAGCAACAUAGAUGGAGUCCUUGAUCUCGUGGAGUUUACAUUCUAUAAAAAUAGUCAUUAUAGAGAACUUACUCUGUGCCAGGCACUGUGCUAGGUCCAUAUAUUACCUGUAACCCGCUGACAACCCCACUAGGUACAGGAUAAUAGCCAGUUUUGUAGAUGAGGAAAUCAAGACUCAGUAAGGUUGGAAUUAGCUAACCUCAGCUUUCUCAGUGGAAGGCUGGUGUGAAGCGCAUGCAGCCCUUACUGCCUUCCAACACGCGCCGAAGGCUCCCCUGUGAGGCGGGGCUCGUGCCAGGUAUCACUGUGGGAGUGGAAGAGAAAUGAAGCCCGAUUUUCAGGGGACUGACAGUUUAUUUUGUCACGGAAUUAACACUAAAACUGCAAUCAAAAAUUAAGUAAAGGAAAAGAAAAAUUUACAUUUAAAAAAUUCAAAUAGCUAAUAAAUAAAUGAAAAACACUCAGUUUCACUUGCAAACAAGAAAUGAAAAUUAAAAUAAUGAGAUACUAUUGUAACCUAUUAAAGUGUAUUUUUUGAUGGAAAUAUUUAAUGUAUGGGUGAAGUGCUCUCUCGAGUACUGCUGUCAGAGGCAUGUGUUUUGAACAUCCAUUCUGGAAAACAGUCUUUAUCAAGAGCCUUAAAACGUGUAUACCUUUUCACUAUGCCAUUACAUUUCCAGGUGUCUACUGUAAAGAAAUAGCUAGAAAGUCAGAUCACAUUUUCAAAAAUGUUUGUCACGUUGUUUGUAUUAGGGAAAAUUUGAAAAUAAAUUAAGGCCAAUCUAGAUGACAUAAUGUUAUACAGCCAUUAAAACAUGUUAUUUUGUAUUUAAUUUGAUGAUAUGGAAACUGUUUCCAAGAAAUAUUAAAUUUGAAAAAACAAUGUUAACCUUUCUAUGUGAUACCACAAUUGUGUAAAAGAUAGGUAUCUGUAUGCAUAUAUAAAUAAAUUCAGAAUACAUUAAUAAACUGGAAAGAAAGAAAA